rnacentral:rRNA from 1 species
AGAAACCAACAGGGAUUGCCCUAGUAACGGCGAGUGAAGCGGCAACAGCUCAAAUUUGAAAUCUGGCGCAAGCCCGAGUUGUAAUUUGUAGAGGAUGCUUCUAGGUAGCGACCGGUCUAAGUUCCUUGGAACAGGACGUCAUAGAGGGUGAGAAUCCCGUAUGUGACCGGCCCGCGCCUUCCACGUAGCUCCUUCGACGAGUCGAGUUGUUUGGGAAUGCAGCUCUAAAUGGGAGGUAAAUUUCUUCUAAAGCUAAAUACCGGCCAGAGACCGAUAGCGCACAAGUAGAGUGAUCGAAAGAUGAAAAGCACUUUGGAAAGAGAGUUAAAAAGCACGUGAAAUUGUUGAAAGGGAAGCGCUCACAACCAGACUUCUGGGCGGUGUUCCGCCGGUCUUCUGACCGGUCUACUCGCCGUCCCGAGGCCAACAUCAUCUGGGACCGCCGGAUAAGACCUCAGGAAUGUGGCUCCCCUCGGGGAGUGUUAUAGCCUGUGGUGAUGCGGCGCGUCUCGGGUGAGGUCCGCGCUUCGGCAAGGAUGUUGGCGUAAUGGUUGUCAGCGGCCCGUCUUGAAACACGGACCAAGGAGUCUAACAUCUAUGCGAGUGUUCGGGUGUCAAACCCCUACGCGUAAUGAAAGUGAACGGAGGUGGGAAGGGUAACCUGCACCAUCGACCGAUCCUGAUGUCCUCGGAUGGAUUUGAGUAAGAGCAUAGCUGUUGGGACCCGAAAGAUGGUGAACUAUGCCUGAAUAGGGUGAAGCCAGAGGAAACUCUGGUGGAGGCUCGCAGCGGUUCUGACGUGCAAAUCGAUCGUCAAAUUUGGGUAUAGGGGCGAAA